UAGGGAAUCUUCGGCAAUGGACGAAAGUCUGACCGAGCAACGCCGCGUGAGUGAAGAAGGUUUUCGGAUCGUAAAACUCUGUUGUUAGAGAAGAACAAGGACGUUAGUAACUGAACGUCCCCUGACGGUAUCUAACCAGAAAGCCACGGCUAACUACGUGCCAGCAGCCGCGGUAAUACGUAGGUGGCAAGCGUUGUCCGGAUUUAUUGGGCGUAAAGCGAGCGCAGGCGGUUUCUUAAGUCUGAUGUGAAAGCCCCCGGCUCAACCGGGGAGGGUCAUUGGAAACUGGGAGACUUGAGUGCAGAAGAGGAGAGUGGAAUUCCAUGUGAAGCGGUGAAAUGCGUAGAUAUAUGGAGGAACACCAGUGGCGAAGGCGGCUCUCUGGUCUGUAACUGACGCUGAGGCUCGAAAGCGUGGGGAGCAAACAG
rnacentral:rRNA from 1 species